CCUACGGGAGGCAGCAGUGGGGAAUAUUGGACAAUGGGGGCAACCCUGAUCCAGCCAUGCCGCGUGUGUGAAGAAGGCCCUCGGGUUGUAAAGCACUUUCAGUGAGGAAGAACGCCUGGUGGUUAAUACCCAUCAGGAAAGACAUCACUCACAGAAGAAGCACCGGCUAACUCCGUGCCAGCAGCCGCGGUAAUACGGAGGGUGCGAGCGUUAAUCGGAAUUACUGGGCGUAAAGCGCGCGUAGGUGGCUUGAUAAGCCGGUUGUGAAAGCCCCGGGCUCAACCUGGGAACGGCAUCCGGAACUGGCAAGCUAGAGUGCAGGAGAGGAAGGUAGAAUUCCCGGUGUAGCGGUGAAAUGCGUAGAGAUCGGGAGGAAUACCAGUGGCGAAGGCGGCCUUCUGGACUGACACUGACACUGAGGUGCGAAAGCGUGGGUAGCAAACAGGAUUAGAUACCCUAGUAGUC
rnacentral:rRNA from 1 species